UGUUCAAGUGCUCCCAUGAUUCAAGAAAGCUAUCGUACGGUUUCGUUUAGCACAGGAUGAACAGAAGUUUUUGUGACUCUAUAAUUUCGUAACCAAAACGGUCAGUGGCCUUGAAUAUCAAACACUUCGGACUGUGACCAUCCUCUCUUCUCAGGUUAUUUGAAGUGUAUACAAUAACGACGUCAGUAUUUCCGUAGUAGGUUUUGUGUGCAUUUGGAGGUGAUCAAUGGUUAUUUAGAAAAUGACCAGAUUCAGGCAAUUUGAACCUACAGUCAUGUAUUCUAUCUGUCAGAUUGAGGAAGCUAUAGUCCUUUUAGGACAGAAAAUGUAAUAAUUUAUUACUCAAAAUCUUUAAUCACUGAAUGAAAAUACGCCCUCUGAUGGCACUUUGUGGAACCAUCACUCCUAUCAACACGUCCUCUGAUGCCACUUCGUAGAACCAUCACUCCUACCAACACGCCUUCUGGUGCCACUUCAUGGAACUAUGACUCCUGACCAAUGUGACCUAGUAAGUCGACCUCUGGUUAAACUUCGUGGAACUAUAACGUCAUCAUCUCUUUUUUAUCAUCAAACUCACCUUAAAGUUCUUCUUGUAGGUUAACAUGUAUAGCAGCUUUAUUUGGGAUACUGAAAUAAAAGGUUGGUAAUUUUGUAAAACUGAUAACGACUUGUUCGCUCCACACACACACAAAAGUUAACCAAAUAUCGUCAUUGUGUUUUGAGCCGUCCAUGGCCUAAGGAUUAGCAGGCUUGGACUGUGAAUCUGUUACGGCCAAAAUUUGAAGCCAUGCUAGCUGAAAAAUUGUCUGUCAAAGCCCACUAUU